ensembl:miRNA
CACAACUGCAUGGCAUCAUCCCCUGGUGGCUGUGGCCUAGGGCAAGCCACAAAGCCACUCGGUGAUGAUGCCAGCAGUUGUG